rnacentral:ncRNA from 1 species
GUUAAACCUUUGAGCAAGAGUAGUAAGAUUAAUUGGCGCUUUAAGAGAGUCGGCGGGUGGUGCGAGCCGAUAGUUGAGAUUUUUCCGAAUGGACUUGUGAGGGCGGACCGAAAGAGUAUUCGAGUAGUUUCCGACGGAACCUGACCGUUACAGCAGGAGGCAUAUGUCAGUAUGCUGUAUGAGCGGGCGGAAUUUCCGUCAAUUUGGGUGGUACCACAGAAGUCGUUUCAGACCUUUGUCCCUUAG